GAUGAACGCUGGCGGCGUGCCUAAUACAUGCAAGUCGAGCGAACAGGCGAGGAGCUUGCUCCUCUGACGUUAGCGGCGGACGGGUGAGUAACACGUGGAUAACCUACCUAUAAGACUGGGAUAACUUCGGGAAACCGGAGCUAAUACCGGAUAACAUGUUGAACCGCAUGGUUUAACAGUGAAAGACGGUCUUGCUGUCACUUAUAGAUGGAUCCGCGCCGCAUUAGCUAGUUGGUAAGGUAACGGCUUACCAAGGCAACGAUGCGUAGCCGACCUGAGAGGGUGAUCGGCCACACUGGAACUGAGACACGGUCCAGACUCCUACGGGAGGCAGCAGUAGGGAAUCAUCCGCAAUGGGCGAAAGCCUGACGGAGCAACGCCGCGUGAGUGAAGAAGGUCUUCGGAUCGUAAAACUCUGUUAUUAGGGAAGAACAAAUGUGUAAGUAACUAUGCACGUCUUGACGGUACCUAAUCAGAAAGCCACGGCUAACUACGUG
rnacentral:rRNA from 1 species